CCUUAUUUCUGACGAGUCCUAGGAGGGGAAUGUGUAAAGAAAUAACACUCACCUUUGUAUGAACAUUUUAUUUGUUUCCAAAAAAAAUUGAACACAAUACAAAUAAAAAGUAAUUUCCUCAAGAAAUAAUAUGGAUUGAGAAUCUUCACCAGCAUAAGAUACUCUGAAACAAAAACUGGAAAACAUGGAAGAACAGAGGCCCAGGCGGUUUCAUCAAGAUGGUUCCAAACAGGCAAGAAAAAGACAAUGAGAUCGACAAUUAAGUGACAAUCCAGAAACUCUGUAUGCCACUCUUGAUGGAGAUAAGGAAGACAAAUUUAUGUUUUAUACCAAAGAUGUAGGAGCAUGGCGCAAAAGACUAAAUGCAGCUUAUGGAGAGCCAAGUUCUACUAUAGAAGUCUGUGUUACAUGGAAGACAGAAGAAGGUACCAUUCAAUUAUUCCUAACAACUGGGAAAUGUCUCAUACAGGGCAAAGCGGAAAAAAGAGAAAGAUUUUGGAGAAUGUUUAGAGUGAUUUUGAACGGAGAAGCUGUUGAUCCACGUUAAAAAGCAACGACUGCUUCAAGAAUCAGAAAUCAGCUCCAGCGAGUCAUCUGAUAGAAACCAAAACUGAUCAACCUCAUGAUCAAUGCAGAAAAAGAAUGUCUUUAAAAAUAAACUUCAGAAGAAAGAGUUUAUUUUCCUUCCUAUGAAUUUUGAUGUAGUUUUUACUGAUUAAAUCUCACACACCUUCUUUUCCCCCCAAUCAUGUUCAGGAGGUAAUGUUAGAACCAGGGAGCAUUUUGAACUCACUCAGAAGGUGGUAGUUUGAGUCUCUCUCGUACUUGAACGUCAGCCUUCCAUAACUGACCUGGUUUAGAAUUUUCAGCCAUUCGAAAAAGGAAACAGUCACACCACCAGCGUUCAGGUACAUGUCCUGAAAAAGAGGAAAAACCUCAGGUUAUCUAGAGCUCCCCUUCUGCUUGUGAACAAAAUGUCUUCUUCAAACCUAAACUGUACUUUUUCAUUUCUGCCCAAUAAAGAUUGUUCUUAAAAAUGGC